rnacentral:rRNA from 1 species
UACAGAGGUCUCGAGCGUUAGGCGGAAUCACUGGGCUUAAGGCGUGUGUAGGCGGAUCGGUAAGUACCUUGUGAAAUCCCACAGCUUAACUGUGGAACUGCUUGGUAUACUGCCGGUCUUGAGCCAGCUAGGGGCUACCGGAACAAAUGGUGGAGCGGUGAAAUGCGUAGAUAUCAUUUGGAACGCCAAUGGUGAAAACAGGUAGCUGGGGCUGUGCUGACGCUGAGACACGAAAGCCAGGGGAGCAAACGGG